rnacentral:rRNA from 1 species
CAGCAGCCGCGGGAAUACGAAGGGUGCAAGCGUUACUCGGAAUUACUGGGCGUAAAGCGUGCGUAGGUGGUGGUUUAAGUCUGCUGUGAAAGCCCUGGGCUCAACCUGGGAAUUGCAGUGGAUACUGGGUCACUAGAGUGCGGUAGAGGGUAGUGGAAUUUCCGGUGUAGCAGUGAAAUGCGUAGAGAUCGGAAGGAACAUCUGUGGCGAAGGCGACUACCUGGGCCAGCACUGACACUGAGGCACGAAAGCGUGGGGAGCAAACAGGAUUAGAUACCCCCGUAGUCCCUGUCUCUUAUAC